AGGAUGAACUGCCCGGCGAGAGUGCAGGCGCUGAGGACAGCGACGAUCCCGAGACGAGACCCAACGGCGAGAAAGGAGAGAGCAAGUCAGGCCACUCUUCCAUAGGGCUGCUGCAGUUUGCUGGGGGUCUGCUUCAGACCUAGUUGCCUCCAUUUUUCCCAUUCCUGGAGGUAUCACCAGUGAAGCCUGUGAAACAGCAAAGAUGGCACCCUGCUCCUUUUUCUGGAAUCUCUGUCCCAGAAAUGCCACGGACUACAAGGUGAUGAAUACCACUAUGAGCUCACUACAAGAUCUCAAAAGAUUUCAAGCACUGGCUGUUCCAAAGCAUAAAGCCACCCUUCUGGAGCAGCGGCAGGAGGCAGGCUGGGACGAGGCCCCGAGUUUUGGCCAGAUGGACCGCCUCCUUAGGUGUCCGGGCAGCUGCUGAAACAUAGUGAGGAAGAUGCUGCUGAUCCAAAGGAUAAAAACACAGAAACUAAAACCAAGAAGCACCUAAAGUGGACUCACACCCAGCAUCCUGCAGACUGACUUUCUCUGAGCUAUAGUUCUGCAUUGGA
rnacentral:sRNA from 1 species